GUAUUAGCUCUGUACAAUCCUUCGAUUUUGUAGAGCUGAAGAGAGAAGAAGAAAAGGAGAAAUGGCGGAAAAAACAUGGAAAUCGAGAGAAAGCGAAGAAGACGAAAAUGAUAAACAAAACAGUAUCAGCGUUCGUGGUAUGCAAUUCGCAUACGAAGGGCAGCCUCCUCUCUUCUACGAUUUCAAUCUCAACAUUCCUCCUGGAUCUCGCUGCCUACUUGUCGGCGCUAAUGGAUCCGGGAAGACCACUUUGUUGAAGAUUCUGGCUGGUAAGCAUAUGGUGGGAGGAAGAGAUGUAGUGCGAGUGCUAAAUCUUUCGGCUUUUCAUGACACUCAAUUAGUUUGUGGUGGUGAUUUGGCCUAUUUAGGUGGUUCUUGGACUAAAACCGUUGGAUCCGCUGGAGAGAUACCACUCCAGGGUGACUUCUCCGUGGAACAUAUGAUAUUUGGAGUUGAAGGAAUUGAUCCUGCUAGGAGAGAAAAGUUGAUUGACUUGCUUGAUAUUGAUCUACAAUGGCGCAUGCAUAAGGUAUCAGAUGGGCAGCGGCGUCGAGUCCAGAUUUGUAUGGGUCUUCUUGUCUCAUUUAAGGUUCUUUUACUCGAUGAGGUCACAGUUGACCUGGACGUUGUUGCCAGACUGGAUUUGCUCGAGUUCUUCAAGGAAGAAUGUGAACAGAGGGGAGCUACACUUGUGUAUGCAACUCAUAUAUUUGAUGGGUUGGAAACAUGGGCAACACAUCUGGCUUACAUCCAGGAUGGUGAACUGAGGAGGUCUGAGAAGUUAACGGAGGUUCAUGAGUUGAAAAGUUCUGCCAAUCUGCUUUCUGUUGUCGAGUCCUGGCUCCGGUCUGAAACCAGGCAUGAGAAAAAGAAACCCACCAACCCUCCUGCUCAAAACCAAAAGACCUCUCCCUUUGGUACUUCUCCAUUUAUGUCAUCCAGACAAAUGGCAUAUUACCGAUGAUCUUCUCAAAUUAAUUUUUCUUUUACUUCCAAUUUCAAAUUCAAAGUUAAGCAUGCAAGAAAGUUGGGUAAUCAAUAAAGUGAAGGCAUCAUUACAAAUGAUGGAAAUCCAAAGACACCCAGGAGGCCAGGACUUCC
rnacentral:misc_RNA from 1 species